ACAUGCAAGUCGAGCGGUAAGGCCUUCGGGGUACACGAGCGGCGAACGGGUGAGUAACACGUGGGUAAUCUGCCUCAUACUCUGGGAUAAGCCUGGGAAACUGGGUCUAAUACCGGAUAGGACCAUUGCGGGCAUCCGUGGUGGUGGAAAGUUCCGGCGGUAUGGGAUGAGCCCGCGGCCUAUCAGCUUGUUGGUGGGGUAGUGGCCUACCAAGGCGACGACGGGUAGCCGGCCUGAGAGGGUGACCGGCCACACUGGGACUGAGACACGGCCCAGACUCCUACGGGAGGCAGCAGUGGGGAAUAUUGCACAAUGGGCGAAAGCCUGAUGCAGCGACGCCGCGUGAGGGAUGACGGCCUUCGGGUUGUAAACCUCUUUCGCCAGGGACGAAGCGCAAGUGACGGUACCUGGAGAAGAAGCACCGGCUAACUACGUGCCAGCAGCCGCGGUAAUACGUAGGGUGCGAGCGUUGUCCGGAAUUAUUGGGCGUAAAGAGCUCGUAGGCGGUUUGUCGCGUCGGCCGUGAAAACCUGGGGCUUAACUCUGGGCCUGCGGUCGAUACGGGCAGACUUGAGUUCGGUAGGGGAGACUGGAAUUCCUGGUGUAGCGGUGAAAUGCGCAGAUAUCAGGAGGAACACCGGUGGCGAAGGCGGGUCUCUGGGCCGAUACUGACGCUGAGGAGCGAAAGCGUGGGGA
rnacentral:rRNA from 1 species